rnacentral:rRNA from 1 species
AUUGAACGCUGGCGGCAGGCCUAACACAUGCAAGUCGAGCGGGGUUUUCGGACCUAGCGGCGGACGGGUGAGUAAUGCGUAGGAAGCUACCCGAUAGAGGGGGAUACCAGUUGGAAACGACUGUUAAUACCGCAUAAUGUCUACGGACCAAAGUGUGGGACCUUCGGGCCAAAUGCUAUCGGAUGCGCCUACGUGGGAUUAGCUAGUUGGUGAGGUAAUGGCUCACCAAGGCGACGAUCCCUAGCUGGUUUGAGAGGAUGAUCAGCCACACUGGAACUGAGACACGGUCCAGACUCCUACGGGAGGCAGCAGUGGGGAAUAUUGGACAAUGGGCGCAAGCCUGAUCCAGCCAUGCCGCGUGUGUGAAGAAGGCCUUCGGGUUGUAAAGCACUUUCAGUAGGGAGGAAGCGUUGUGUGUUAAUAGUACACAGCGUUGACGUUACCUACAGAAGAAGCACCGGCUAACUUUGUGCCAGCCGCCGCAGUAAUAC